ACUGGAGAUCAGUUGUUUCCCAUGAAGACGUGGUGAAUUCUCUUUUGAGUUUCAACUAACAGAAUAAAAGCAGGUGGCGUGCGGGGUACCGGAAGCCGUCACGGGGAGAACGAGCUGCCUCUCUGCCCGCUGAUACCUGUGCGUCUUCCAGCAUCUGUCUAUUGAGCACUGGGCUCAUGCCUAUGGACCGCUGAAGGUGUACAAGAGAAGAGUCCUGCUUGUGAAAACCCACAGCCCAAUUCUAGGGGAAAGCAUACAGAUGUGAAAUACAGAGAGCAUUCAGGUGGAUGACCUCGAGCACGGGGAAAGCCAAGCCGCGAUGGCUGUGAAGUCAUUCCACUUCUGAAGCCAUGAUCUGAAUGG